AAUAGAUACCCUGGUAGUCCACGCCGUAAACGAUGAGUGCUAAGUGUUAGAGGGUUUCCGCCCUUUAGUGCUGCAGCUAACGUAUUAAGCACUCCGCCUGGGGAGUACGGCCGCAAGGCUGAAACUCAAAGGAAUUGACGGGGGCCCGCACAAGCGGUGGAGCAUGUGGUUUAAUUCGAAGCAACGCGAAGAACCUUACCAGGUCUUGACAUCCUCUGCCAACCCUAGAGAUAGGGUGUUCCCCUUCGGGGGACAGAGUGACAGGUGGUGCAUGGUUGUCGUCAGCUCGUGUCGUGAGAUGUUGGGUUAAGUCCCGCAACGAGCGCAACCCUUGAUCUUAGUUGCCAGCAUUUAGUUGGGCACUCUAAGGUGACUGCCGGUGACAAACCGGAGGAAGGUGGGGAUGACGUCAAAUCAUCAUGCCCCUUAUGACCUGGGCUACACACGUGCUACAAUGGAUGGUACAAAGAGCUGCGAACCCGCGAGGGUAAGCCAAUCUCAUAAAGCCAUUCUCAGUUCGGA
rnacentral:rRNA from 1 species